rnacentral:lncRNA from 1 species
UUCCUUGCUUGAGGGUUGCUGCUCAAAAUGAAACUAAUAAUCAAACCAAAAGUUUCAAGAAGUGAAGUUUAACAAAAUGGACGAAAGAUACCAAAGGGACAGUCAAACUCAUAAAUCUAAAACAAACUGACAACGCCAUGGCUACAAAUGAAAAAGACAAACAGACAGACAAUAGUACACAUGACAUUAAAUCAUCCCUCAGUUAAUUUUACGGACGCC